rnacentral:rRNA from 1 species
ACUCCUACGGGAGGCAGCAGUGGGGAAUUUUGGACAAUGGGCGAAAGCCUGAUCCAGCAAUGCCGCGUGAGUGAAGAAGGCCUUCGGGUUGUAAAGCUCUUUUGUCAGGGAAGAAACGGUGAGGGCUAAUAUCUCUUGCUAACGACGGUACCUGAAGAAUAAGCACCGGCUAACUACGUGCCAGCAGCCGCGGUAAU